UACGGAGGGUGCUAGCGUUGUUCGGAUAUACUGGGCGUAAAGCGCACGUAGGCGGCGUAGUAAGUCAGGUGUGAAAUCCCGGAGCUCAACUCCGGAACUGCCCUUGAAACUGCAGUGCUAGAAUUCUGGAGAGGCGAGUGGAAUUCCGAGUGUAGAGGUGAAAUUCGUAGAUAUUCGGAAGAACACCAGUGGCGAAGGCGACGCGCUGGACAGACAUUGACGCUGAGGUGCGAAAGCGUGGGGAGCAAACAGG
rnacentral:rRNA from 1 species